UACGUAGGGUGCGAGCGUUUGUCCGGAAUUAUUGGGCGUAAAGAGCUUGUAGGCGGUUUGUCGCGUCUGCCGUGAAAAUUCGAGGCUCAACCUCGAACUUGCGGUCGAUACGGGCAGACUUGAGUUCGGUAGGGGAGACUGGAAUUCCUGGUGUAGCGGUGAAAUGCGCAGAUAUCAGGAGGAACACCGGUGGCGAAGGCGGGUCUCUGGGCCGAUACUGACGCUGAGGAGCGAAAGCGUGGGGAGCGAACAGG
rnacentral:rRNA from 1 species